UCUCUCCUAGUAUAAAAAGAUCCACUUGCAGUACACCAACAUGAAGUGGGAUACAUAAUACUGUGCUCACUGUGUAACUUCUUUGCAUCAAAAAUCAGGACAUCUUUUGUACAAAUCAUUCUGGAGUAAAUCCACUAUGACUGAAGGCCACAAAUCAGGAAAAAUGCUGUCAGAGUCUGGCAGCACACCCAUGGAGUCAGCGCCUCUUUCAGACCUCGGCGAGGAUCUGGCAGCUCUGGGGAGAGCCCACACGCUGUGGACAGAGCAGCUCUCCUGCACCUUCCACCUGGGCUUUGCAGUCCUUUCUACAGAAUGAUGUUGCUGCUCAAGCUUUCGAGGGCACGCACAUCUCUGCUCCUCGCUCGGCUGGGUGACAUCGACCUCCCAGGCACCCUGCUGGUGUGACCACACUUUGAGCUGUGCCUGCAAAUGGCUGUGCUCUUGGGAUACCUUGGUCUUCCUCUGGUGUUACAGCCCAGGGCCCUCACUGAGCCUUGCUCUCGCCAAGGGGCAGAUGUGACUCAUGCAAGAGGGGAGCGGUGUGCCACAUCCCUCAGAGUCUGCCCAAGCUACUGUGAGUGAAAAUGAAGAGCUGAUGCUCUCUUGACAUCAGAGCGUCUCUGGGGUGCGGAGCUCUCAGCUCCCCCUGUUACCGUUGCAUGGGGGCUCAGGGAUGUGCCCUGAGCACUGACCUGCUCUCUUCCCAGCCCCGCUCACGGGAACCGCUUGCUGAUUCAUGUGAGUAGGCGGGAAGGAAAGAGGAUCCUUUGGGAGGUUUUUUCUCAGGAUUAACCUCUAUCUGAGAAGGGAGGAUAUCAAAGGGAAGCAAGUAGGCAGUAGGAUGGCUAACAUCCAAGACCUGUGGUGGUAGAGAAAAAAAUUCAGCAAGGAGACAGAGACGACUAGUAGGGAAAGAUUUGGCGAUGCUGUACUCUCUACAAGAACACAACGGGAAAAGGACAGAGUGGUUUUACAAACUCCAAAAGCUACUCUGCCUCUUUGCAUAGUUUGUGUAGCUGUCCAGACAGGAAACAAAAAGGGCAAUAGGAUGUAGAAGCCUGUAGCUUCAAGAAGCAUAACUGAAUAUUAAAUAAGCAUCCUCACUAAAACAGCAGAAUUCCUCGCAGCUUAUGCUCUGCAUUGGUGUCACUUGUUUACCAGGGACCGUUCUGCAGGAGCUGCCCUGGUUACACCACCGUCUGCUGCCAUGGGUCAGGGGCUGAGGUAGUGGUUAGACUGGACAAGCAGCAGGGCUCAUCCCUAAUUCUGAUUUAAUUCACUGAAGCUUGUGUAAGCUUAAGCUAAAAGUUAAGCUCAGGAUGGUUUAGGAAAAGCUUAGACUGGAGGCACAAAACAAGCAUCUUGAAAGCAGAAUGAGGUUUAACUACAGCUGAUGAUCCAACUUUCAAGCAGAUAAAUUACUUUGCAAAAAGACUGGUACAGCCAAGCCCCUUUUCAAUUACAGAAAACUAACUCAAUCAGCUCCUAUUCUUUUUAAAUAGAUCUGCUGGGUUUAAAUGAAUGUGCAUAAUAUGUGGUCCAUUUAUUUCCAAGAACAUUGCAGUGAAAGUUGCUUUAUGGAUUCACUGCAAAAUCCUGAGUAAAGAAAAAAAAAUCAAUAGAAAGUAUCCACCUUUCUUAAAAAGAAAAGCCAUUUUUCCCCCUAAAGUUCAAUUCGUUUUGCUCUGGCACUUAUUGACCUCGAUUCAGAUACUUUCGAUGUUUGUAUAGGGGCUUUUCUUCAAUCAGCCUGGCAGAACUUUCUAUUCCUUAAGCCGCAGGGGUAUCUACAGACUUGGAGGGACUUUGAUGGGGGGUGAGGGGAAGUCACAAAGCUGAAGCUCAUCUUUGGAAGUGAAGGGUGACAGCUUUUUUUUAUUGUUAA